rnacentral:rRNA from 1 species
UACCUUGUUACGACUUAGCCCCAGUCACUGGUUUUACCCUAGGCCGCUCCUUACGGUUACGGACUUCAGGUACCCCCAACUUCCAUGGCUUGACGGGCGGUGUGUACAAGGCCCGGGAACGUAUUCACCGCGCCAUGGCUGAUGCGCGAUUACUAGCGAAUCCAGCUUCACGGAGUCGAGUUGCAGACUCCGAUCCGAACUGAGACCGGCUUUCGAGAUUCGCAUCCUGUCUCCAGGUAGCUGCCCUCUGUACCGGCCAUUGUAACACGUGUGUAGCCCUGGACAUAAGGGCCGUGCUGAUUUGACGUCAUCCCCACCUUCCUCUCGGUUUACACCGGCAGUUUCGCUAGAGUCCCCGGCAUUACCCGCUGGCAACUAACGAUAAGGGUUGCGCUCGUUAUGGGACUUAACCCGACACCUCACGGCACGAGCUGACGACAACCAUGCAGCACCUUGCAGAGAGUUCCGAAGAAAAUGAUGAUUUCUCACCAAUGCACUCUACAUUUAAGCCCAGGUAAGGUUCCUCGCGUAUCAUCGAAUUAAACAACAUGUUCCUCCGCUUGUGCGGGCCCCCGUCAAUUCCUUUGAGUUUCAGCCUUGCGGCCGUACUCCCCAGGUGGAUCACUUAAUGCUUUUGCUUAGCCGCUGACUGUGUAUCGCCAACAGCGAGUGAUCAUCGUUUACGGCGUGGACUACCAGGGUAUCUAAUCCUGUUCGAUCCCCACGCCUUCGUGCAUCAGCGUCAGUAAUGGUCCAGCAAGCUGCCUUCGCAAUCGGUGUUCUGUGUAAUAUCUAAGCAUUUCACCGCUACAUUACACAUUCCGCCUGCCUUGACCAUACUCAAGACUGACAGUAUCAACGGCAAGUCUACAGUUAAGCUGCAGAAUUUCACCACUGACUUAUCUAUCCGCCUACGCACCCUUUAAACCCAAUAAAUCC